AAUCCGUAACAAGGUUUCCGUAGGUGAACCUGCGGAAGGAUCAUUGUCGAAACCUGCCCAGCAGAACGACCCGCGAACAUGUUUUUCACCGCACGCGGGGCGCGGGGGGCUCCGGCCGCCCGCGUCCCGCGGGGCUCAGGGAGCACGCGGGGGAACCGGGGGGGGCCUCGGCCACUCCCCUCCGCGCUCCUCGGCCGAACAACCAACCCCGGCGCCGGACGCGCCAAGGAAAUCUGAAACGAGAAGAGCGCGCCCCCGUCGGCCCCGGAGACGGGCAGCCCUCGGGGUGCGUCGUCCUCUUUCGAGAACCGAAACGACUCUCGGCAACGGAUAUCUCGGCUCUCGCAUCGAUGAAGAACGCAGCGAAAUGCGAUACUUGGUGUGAAUUGCAGAAUCCCGCGAACCAUCGAGUCUUUGAACGCAAGUUGCGCCCGAAGCCUUCGGGCCGAGGGCACGUCUGCCUGGGUGUCACGCAACCGUCGCCCCCAGCCCCUCCCCGUCUCGGACGAGGGGCGCAGCGGGGCGGAUUCUGGCCUCCCGUGGGCUCCCCGCCCGCGGCUGGCCCAAAAGCCGAGUCUCGGCCGCGAACGCAUCGGCAAUCGGUGGUUGCAAGACCCUCGGACGCCGCCGCGUGCGCUCGCCGGCCGGAGAGACCCUCGAGACCCCGAAGCACGGCGCGAGCGUGCUCCCAUCGCGACCUCAGGUCAGGCGGGACC
rnacentral:rRNA from 1 species